GUCAUGUUGUUACUAUGAUGAUAUCACUUUGUGUGUGUACCUUCGUCUUCUGGCAAAUAUCGUUUAUCAAUGGCUUCUUUUAUCUGAUUAUUUGCUCCUUUAGGAUCCAGAUCCAUGGCCCAGCUGAAGUUCAUGAGCGCCAGGGACAAAGACGCUGGCCAGGCUGGAGGAUUGAGGAGGAUCUCAAGGACAGUGUUUGUGUGGUGGUACCUUGGCGGUGGAGCUGGCACUAGUGAACAGCCUGGAGCUUCUUCUGGGCUGAACAUUUGGAGGACCAGACAUACUGGGACUGAGCACCUGAGGUGAAGCACUGAGGGGAAGGAGGAAGACGACAACCUUACAGAGCCGAAGCUAGGCCAGUGUGUGCUGUGGCGUCUCCAUGAAGGCGGUCUCCAUGCGAUGCGAGGAGUUCUGUGCCGGACUCACAGACGUUGGGGGCGGGACUAUUGAAGGGUGCUGCAAGGAGGACAGUCUGAAGACCUGAUCUGGAUCAGGCCUGAGGUCCUCUGGCAAGAUGUUCCACAGACGGGAAUGAUGCCAUCCUGUGACUUGGUGUCCUGACUUUUGGAACAAUUAGGAGACGAGAGCCGGAGGAUCUCAGGGUCUGCGAAGGCAAACACUUUGGGCAGCCCUGAACUGGAGCAUAGCGCCCUGGGCACUUGCCCAUGUGACCAAAGGCUAAAAGCGCCCCUGCCAAGGAGAGUGAGGAGUGAAUGGAUGGAAGGUUUGGUCUUGUGGCACAAAUAGAGUCAAUGAAACGUGACAUCAGCCCCACAACUUUAUUUCACUGGGUGACCAGUCCACAUGACACAAACAUCACACAUGCUAAUGCUAGCUGCAGAUGUCAGGGCUACAGGGUGCAGUUGGCCUCUGGUGAGAGUCGACAUUUGGCCACAGUCAGCACGCCAGCAGCUCGUACAUCCGUCGCAAGGACUCGUCAUCCCCCGCACUUUGGUAGUAAUUGCCAUAGGGCGCCAGUUGGAGGGUGGCGCUGUCAGCCGACAUCUCAGCUCCAUCCUGAUUGGCCUGAAAGGACAGGUGAUCACUCAGGGAAGUUCCUGCCUCCAACUGGAUCAGACACCGACUCCAGGACCGUUGGGCCUUAUCUGCUACUAAUUGUGUGUAGAAGUGUGUGUUUGUGCAAGUGUGUGUUGUCACCCUGAUCAGCAGGAGGAUUCCCAUCUUCAGUUCUGAAAGUUUGGAAGAGAUCUGAUUUCUGGGAGCAGGAGCAGCAGAGAGGGAGCGGCUGGGAAAUUCCCAGGAUUCCACCAAUCGAUAGGAGAUGGACAGCAGCUUCAAGACCUAGACCACAUCAGAUCAGUCUUGGCAUGUUUCCCUUCAACCUCGUCUGCAGUUAUUGUCAUGUUGAGGUUCUAAGCUAGCAUGCUUUGAAGUCAGCUGAGAAAAGUACUAAGACGGAAACGUGCAAAGAUUGUAUAUUUGUAGGGAACGUCUCACUCUUUGCACCAUCACUGAGAAAAGUAGUUAGAAGGAAAGUACAAAGAUUGUAUAUUCAUGGCAACGUCUCACUUUGUAACGACUAACAUGGCACCAUGACUGAGAAAAGUACUAAGACGGAAACGUGCAAAGAUUGUAUAUUUGUAGGGAACGUCUCACUCUUUGCACCAUCACUGAGAAAAGUAGUUAGAAGGAAAGUACAAAGAUUGUAUAUUCAUGGCAACGUCUCACUUUGUAACGACUAACAUGGCACCAUGACUGAGAAAAGUACCAAGACGGAAAAGUGCAAAGAUGGUAUAUUGGUGGUAAGGUGUCACUACUAAGAAGUUGACAAUGACCGAGCUGCGUUGUGUUUCGUGCUUGUCGAUAGGACUGAUGAUGUAGUCCGAGUUGCAGAAGUCCUGCAGGAAGAUCUUGUUGAGUUGACGUUGUUCCUCCAUCUGAAGAGAACUCUCCUACAACACAAGCACAAGCCUACCAUGGAUGGAUGCAUGAUGGAUGGAUAGAUGAUGAAUGGAUGAAUAGAUGAUGGCUGGGUGGAUGAUGGAUGGAUAGACAAUGGAUGGAAGGGCAGAUGAUGGAUGGAUGAUGGAUGAAUAGAUGAUGGCUGGGCGGAUGAUGGAUGGAUAGACAAUGGAUGGAUAGGCGGAUGAUGGAUGGAUGAUGAUGGAUGGAUGAAGAUGGAUGAAUAGAUGAUGGCUGGGGGAUGAUGGAUGGAUAGACAAUGGAUGGAUAGGCGGAUGAUGGAUGGAUGAUGAUGAUGGAUGAAGAUGGAUGAAUAGAUGAUGGCUGGGCGGAUGAUGGAUGGAUAGACAAUGGAUGGAUGGGCAGAUGAUGGAUGGAUGAUGAUGGAUGGGUGGACAGAUGAUGAUGGAUGAAUACAUGUUGAUGGAUGGAUAGAUGAUGGAUGGGCGGAUGAUGGAUGGAUGAUGAUGGUGGGUGGAUAGAUGGAUGAAUGGAUGAAUAGAUGAUGGAUGGGUGCAUGGAUGAUAAAUGAAUAAUGGGAGGGGUUUAUGGUAUUUUUGUUUAUUUAUUUAUUUUAAAUGUUGUCAUAAAUAAAUACAAUCA